AUGGAAUGGACCUGGAGAAUUCUCUUCCUGGUGGCAGUGGUUGCAGGUGUGAACUCCCAGGUACAGCUGGUGCAGCCGGGGGCUGAGGUUGGAAAACCUGGGACAUCAGUGAAGAUCUCCUGCAAGGUGUCCGGAUACACCUUCAGCAGCUAUGAUAUGAGUUGGGUGCGGCAGGCCCUGGGACAAGGGCUCAAGUGGAUGGGAGGGAUAAAUCCUAGCAAUGGUGGUACAAGCUACGCACAGAAGUUUCAGGGCAGACUCAAACUCACUGCACACAAGUCCAAGGACACAGCCUACAUGGAGCUGAGCAGGCUGAGCAAUGAGGACACGGCUAUAUUACUGUGUGAGAGACUCAGUGUGACAACCACAUCCUGUUUGUGUCAGAAAACUGAGGGGGAGGCACCUGUGCCGGUUACCCCCAGGCAGAUGGGCUUUUUCCUGGAGCUGUUGCCACUAAUUCGGCAGCGAAUUAUUCUCCCAUUCUAUAUCCUGUUAGAACCAUAA